GAUGAACGCUGGCGGCGUGCCUAAUACAUGCAAGUCGAGCGAACAGAUGAGGAGCUUGCUCCUCUGACGUUAGCGGCGGACGGGUGAGUAACACGUGGAUAACCUACCUAUAAGACUGGGAUAACUUCGGGAAACCGGAGCUAAUACCGGAUAAUAUAUUGAACCGCAGGGUUCAAUAGUGAAAGACGGUUUUGCGGACAUGUAUAGAUGGAUCAGCGCCGCAUUGGCUGGUUGGUAAGGUAACGGCUUAACGAGGCAACGAUGCGUAGCCGACCUGAGAGGGUGAUCGGCCACACUGGAACUGAGACACGGUCCAGACGCCUACGGGAGGCAGCAGGAGGGAAGCUUCCGCAAUGGGCGAAAGCCUGACGGAGCAACGCCGCGUGAGUGAUGAAGGUCUUCGGAUCGUAAACCUCUGUUAUUAGGGAAGAACAAAUGUGUAAGUAACUAUGCACGUCUUGACGGUACCUAAUCAGAAAGCCCCGGCUAACUACGUG
rnacentral:rRNA from 1 species